rnacentral:lncRNA from 1 species
UAGUUUCGAGAGAGUUAGGGUUUCCUUGUUACUUUGCUACAAAGAAAUAGUUAGGGCUUCCCACCGUCGGAUUUGAUCGCAAAUUCGCAAUGAACCGUCGUCAUCAUUUUCGAAUUGGUCGUUGUGGACUUGGUCUACCCAAGGAGCGUGAAGAAUGUUUUGAACGAAGAUGCCUGAUGUUGAUGCGGCGUCGUAAGGAAGCGAAGCUUAAGCUGGCCUCCGGUGAAUCUGUAACUAAGGUUAAUAUUAAAUAUUGAAACGAGUUGUUAGAUAAUUUUGUCCAUAUAGAUCGGCUUAUUCAUCAUAUUUGUUGUUUCUCUUGUUACAGGAGAAAGACGACUUGUCCACUGAGGCUACUACCACCACCACCACUAAGGUUUGAUUCUUUUUUUCUUUUUUUUAUCUUUGGGACUAGUACUUAAGAAGUAGGUGCUUAUGUGGUGAUCUAUGUUUAUGGUAGCUCUGAUACAUGUGUUGCUUUCAAUUGACUCAGCAUGCAGACAACUGCCGCUGCUUCUCCAAUCAAUCUGGAACUAAAAAGAAAAAACAAGAAGAAGACGAAGAAGUAGAAGAAGGAGAAGAAUAAGCCCCAUGUCCGGAUGUCCCUCUUUUUUAAUUAUAUUUCCCCAAGCAUGCACUUGUAAUAAUAAUAUGCA